GACAGAAUCACAAGAAUAUGGCUGGAUAAGUCAUCCAUUGAUUGAACAUGAUCGUACAGAUAGAAGAUUGAAUUUC
rnacentral:sRNA from 1 species